rnacentral:rRNA from 1 species
GAUGAACGCUGGCGGCGUGCCUAAUACAUGCAAGUCGAGCGAACAGACGAGGAGCUUGCUCCUCUGACGUUAGCGGCGGACGGGUGAGUAACACGUGGAUAACCUACCUAUCAGACUGGGAUAACUUCGGGAAACCGGAGAUAAUACCGGAUAAUAUAUUGAACCGCGUGGUUCAAUAGUGAAAGACGGUUUUGCUGUCACUUAUAGAUGGAUCCGCGCCGCAUUAGCUAGUUGGUAAGGUAACGGCUUACCAAGGCAACGAUGCGUAGCCGACCUGAUAGGGUGAUCGGCCACCCUGGAACUGAGACACGGUCCAGACUCCUACGGUAGGCCGCAGUAUGGAACCUUCCGCAAUGGUCGAAAGCUUUACGGAGCAACGCCGCGUGAGUGAUGAAGGUCUUCGGAUCGUAAAACUCUGUUAUUAGGUAAGAACAAAUGUGUAAGUAACUAUGCACGUCGUGACGGUACCUGAUCAGAAAGCCCCGGCUAACUACGUG